rnacentral:rRNA from 1 species
CACGAAGUUAGCCGGGGCUUAUUCCUCCGGUACCGUCAUUAUCGUCCCGGAGAAAAGAGCUUUACAACCCCAAGGCCGUCAUCACUCACGCGGCAUGGCUGGAUCAGGGUUGCCCCCAUUGUCCAAUAUUCCCCACUGCUGCCUCCCGUAGGAGUCUGGGCCGUGUCUCAGUCCCAGUGUGGCUGAUCAUCCUCUCAGACCAGCUACUGAUCGUCGCCUUGGUGAGCCGUAACCUCACCAACUAGCUAAUCAGACGCGGGCCGAUCCUUCGGCAGAUAAACCUUUCCCCAUAAGGGCGUAUCCGGUAUUAGCUCAAGUUUCCCUGAGUUAUUCCGAACCGAAGGGCACGUUCCCACGCGUUACUCACCCGUCUCGCCGCUGACACCACAAGGAUGCCCGCUCGACUUGCAUGUGUUAAGCCUGCCGCAGCGUUCGCUCUGAGCCAGGAUACAAACUCU